UUGGUCUAUUACGCUGACAUCCAUUUCUUCCUCGGCGUGCCAACAAGACGUCGGGUGAAGACUUCGAGGGCUCGGCGCCUUACAGACGCAACACAAGGACCACCCAUUGGCACUGGAGAUUUUACGAAGGGAUAAAAGCAAUGCUCAUGCAGAAAUACAGAGUAAU